AGGAGCUGGAUGAGAAGAAACUCUCAUGUCCAGUUCUGUAAUAGAGAUGGAAUUGUGAACCAAUCAUCAACUAUAAC
rnacentral:ncRNA from 1 species